AAUCAACGCUGGCGGCGUGCCUAACACAUGCAAGUCGAGCGAGAAAAGGGGAGCAAUCCUCUGAGUACAGCGGCGCACGGGUGAGUAACACGUGGGUAAUCUGCCCUAGAGUGGGGAAUAACACCGGGAAACCGGUGCUAAUACCGCAUACGAUAACGGGGUCUGCGGAUUUCGUUAUGAAAGGAGCAAUUCGCUCUUGGAGGAGCCCGCGGCUGAUUAGCUAGUGGUGAGGUAAUGACUCACCAAGGCUUCGAUCAGUAGCCGGUCUGAGAGGACGGUCGGCCACACUGGAACUGAGACACGGUCCAGACUCCUACGGGAGGCAGCAGUCGGGAAUUUUGGGCAAUGGGCGCAAGCCUGACCCAGCAACGCCGCGUGAAGGAUGAAAUCCCUCGGGAUGUAAACUUCGUAAGAAUAGGAAGAAUAAGUGUAGGAUAAUACCCUGCACUGAUGACGGUACUAUUCGUAAGCUCCGGCUAA
rnacentral:rRNA from 1 species